UGGGGAAUAUUGGACAAUGGGCGAAAGCCUGAUCCAGCCAUGCCGCGUGUGUGAAGAAGGUCUUCGGAUUGUACAGCACUUUAAGUUGGGAGGAAGGGCAGUAAGCGAAUACCUUGCUGUUUUGACGUUACCGACAGAAUAAGCACCGGCUAACUCUGUGCCAGCAGCCGCGGUAAUACAGAGGGUGCAAGCGUUAAUCGGAAUUACUGGGCGUAAAGCGCGCGUAGGUGGUUCGUUAAGUUGAAUGUGAAAGCCCCGGGCUCAACCUGGGAACGGCAUCCAAAACUGGCGAGCUAGAGUAGGGCAGAGGGUGGUGGAAUGUCCUGUGUAGCGGUGAAAGGCGUAGAUAUAGGAAGGAACAACAGAGGGGAAGGCGACCACCUGGGCUCAUACUGAAACUGAGGUGCGAAAGCGUGGGGAGCAAACAGG
rnacentral:rRNA from 1 species